GACGAACGCUGGCGGCGUGCUUAACACAUGCAAGUCGAACGGAAAGGCCCUGCUUUUGUGGGGUGCUCGAGUGGCGAACGGGUGUGUAACACGUGAGUAACCUGCCCUUGACUUUGGGAUAACUUCAGGAAACUGGGGCUAAUACCGGAUAGGAGCUCCUGCUGCAUGGUGGGGGUUGGAAAGUUUCGGCGGUUGGGGAUGGACUCGCGGCUUAUCCGCUUGUUGGUGGGGUAGUGGCUUACCAAGGCUUUGACGGGUAGCCGGCCUGAGAGGGUGACCGGCCACAUUGGGACUGAGAUACGGCCCAGACUCCUACGGGAGGCAGCAGUGGGGAAUAUUGCACAAUGGGCGGAAGCCUGAUGCAGCAACGCCGCGUGCGGGAUGACGGCCUUCGGGGUGUAAACCGCUGUCGCCUGUGACGAAGCGUGAGUGACGGUAAUGGGUAAAGAAGCACCGGCUAACUACGUG
rnacentral:rRNA from 1 species